rnacentral:lncRNA from 1 species
GACAAACUGCCUGUUCUCAUCACUGAUACUUUAUUUCGUUUAUAUUUGAAUUACCAAUCCGGGGGAGAAAGUAUCGUCCUAUGAAAACUUCCCAUUUUCUUCCCUAUGUACCUCUGGUGUAUUUAAUCAUAAUCUCUAUCUAAACUCCAAAGUCUGUGACUUCAUUAUAAAACUUUUUUAAUGACCUAAAGAAAUUUAGAUUCUCAGUAGGUAUAUUAGGUUUUAAUUUAAUUUAACUUGAAGAUAAAUAAAUACUAACUUCAUUGUAUUAAAUGAGUUCCUCUUCUCUCUUGAAAAUUGUUAUCUCUGUCCCUUUAACCAACAUUAAAUAUAAACCCCUGAGUCCCUUAGCGCCCUUCAUAGAGCCCACGAAAGAAAAUGGAAAGUAAUCUUCCGGAAGUUACUUCUUACCAUCUCAAAUACAAGGCUGGGUAAUGUGGACAGUAUUUUAUUAACAUGAUAAUCCAAACUGGUCAUGCUUUGUGUUAAAUGAAGUUAAUAAACUCUUGGUUUCUUUUAGGGCAUUGAAAACAUAAAGAAUUCAAUUGAAGAUGCAAACGAGCCUUUGAUAGACCCUGUGUACGGGCAUGGCAGCCAAAGCUUAAUAAACCUCCUCCUGACGGGGCACGCGGUCUCUAACGUGUGGGAUGGCGAUAGAGAGUGCUCAGGAAUGCAACUUCUCGGUAUCCAUGAACAAGCAACUGUAGGAUUCUUAACACUAAUGGAAGCUUUACGCUAUUGUAAGGUUGGUUCUUACUUGAAAUCUCCAAAAUUCCCUAUUUGGAUUGUUGGCAGCGAAACUCACCUCACCGUAUUUUUUGCCAAG